GUCCACGCCCUAAACGAUGGCCACUGGGUGUUGGGGGAGCGAUUCCUCAGUACCGUAGCUAACGCGUGAAGUGGCCCGCCUGGGGAGUACGGCCGCAAGGUUAAAACUCAAAGGAAUUGACGGGGACCCGCACAAGCGGUGGAUGAUGUGGAUUAAUUCGAUGCAACGCGAACAACCUUACCUACCCUUGACAUGUCCGGAACCCUAUCGAGAGGUGGGGGUGCCCGAAAGGGAAUCGGAACACAGGUGCUGCAUGGCUGUCGU
rnacentral:rRNA from 1 species